UACGAACUGUGCGAACGUUAUUCGGAAUCACUGGGCUUACAGGGUGCGUAGGCGGCUUGUUAAGUAGGGUGUGAAAGCCCCGGCUCAACCGGGGAAUUGCGCCCUAAACUGGCGAGCUGGAGUGAGAUAGGGGUGUGUGGAACUUCCGGUGGAGCGGUGAAAUGUGUUGAUAUCGGAAGGAACGCCGGUGGCGAAAGCGACACACUGGAUCUUGUCUGACGCUGAGGCACGAAGGUCAGGGGAGCAAACGGG
rnacentral:rRNA from 1 species